GACAUGGAGGCCCUGCAGCGUGUCCAGAGGAGGGCAACACAGCUGGUGAGGGCUCUGGAGCACAGACCUUAUGAGGAGCGGCUGAAGGAGCUGGGGUUGGUCAGUCUGGAGAAGAGGAGGCUCAGGGGAGGCCUUAUUGCUCUCUGUAACUGCCUGAAGGGAGGUUGUAGUGAGCUGCGGGUCGGCCUCUUCUCUCGGGUGACAGUGAUAGGACGAGAGGGAAUGGCUUCAAGCUGCGCCAGGGAAGGUUCAGGCUGGACGUUAGGAAAUACUACUGCUCUGAAAGGGUGGUCAGGCACUGCAAUGGGCUGCCCAGAGAGGUGGUGGAGUCACCCACCCUGGUGGUGUUCAAAGAGCGUUUGGAUGUUGUGUUGAGGGACGUGGUUUAGCGGGAACCAUUGGUGAAGGGCGGAUGGUUGGACUGGGUGUUCCUGUGGGUCUUUUCCAACCUUAGCGAUUCUAUGAUUCUAUGAUUUGCCUCUUGCAUGCCCUACAUCGACCCCAAAUGAGAAGAGGAAACGGUUUUCUCCAGGUGCUUCGCUCAGAGGCUGCAGCACCUCUGCUAUGGAGAAAGAAUCAUACAAUCAUAGAAUUACUCAGGUUGGAAAGGACCUCAGAGAUCAUCAGGUCCAAGCGCAGCCUAACCAUAGUCCCCUAACUCUAACAACCCUCCCCGAAAUCAUAUCUCCGAGCACCACAUCCAAACGGCUCUUCAACACAUCCAGGGACGGUGACUCAACCACCUCCCUGGGGAGCCUAUCCCAGUGCUUCACCACCCUUUCUGUAGAGAACUGUUUCCUAACGUCCAUCCUAAAGUUACCUUGGCGCAACUGGAGGCCAUUGUGUCACCAGUGAGAAGAGACCUACCCCGCUUUCACUGUAAGCACCUUUCAGGUACUGCAAGAGAGCAAUGAGGUCUCCCCUCAGCCUCCUCUUCCCCACACUAAGCAGCCCCAGCUCCCUCAGCCUCUCCUCAUAGGGCUGAUUUUCC
rnacentral:lncRNA from 1 species